CUAUGUAAACAAGGGUCAUAACCACUCAGCAAAUUGUACUUACGGAUUUUGGAUGUGAUUGUGGAAUGUGUUUUAGUUUCAAACAUUUGUUAUGAUUUAUGAAAAUUUGGGGUCGCAAAAACUGGUGAACAGUGCCAGAAGAAGAACCAAAAUUCCAAGGCUCGGUCUUCUUCAUAUGCGUUACAAAGCAGUGAGCGUGCCACAACAGCCAGCAGUGAAGAACAUAUGAGUGUACCAGUCAUGAAAGUAGAGGCAUUAAGUGUAAAGAAUCGCUCACAAAGAAGAACGACAAGAGAUCACAAGCCGAUACCUUAACAAAACUUACAGGGAAACCGAUGGGAAAUAACUAAGAAAAAUUAGAAUAAGAAAUAAAAAAGUUGACUGUAGAAAUUGAAAUAAUACAUUUGGAGAAAAAGAUGUGUUUAGUGUCAAUACGUGACCAAGUGCUAUAACUCUGACAUGUAAUAUACUAGUAGUAGAUUUAUUCGCCUUUUUGUAAUUAAAAGGAUCUUAUUAUUGUUUGUGCAACUACUUCAUAACUCUAUUAUUUCUAAAAUAGAUAGUCUAUAUUAGAAAUAAUAGUUAUGGGGAAGUUGCACACAAAAUAAUAAGAUUUUUUUUUAAUUCAAAAAGGGGCAUACUAUUAUUUCUAUGAUAAAAAUAUGAUUCUAUCCCUUUUUGUACUUAUAAAAUUCCAGUCAAUAUUUGUGUGCUUUAAGAAAUGUAGGUUAAAUAUUACAUUGGUCAUUGUAUUAUGUUACUGACAUAUAAAAUACAUUCUACAUUCAAAGAGGAAUAUUACCGGGUAGUUGAAUGCGGUGUCUUGGGGCACUUCUUGAUAUUAUUUGCUUACAAGAUAUACAUCAUUGAUAAUAAUAAAAUUCUUCAUUCAAUGAACUGAAUGAAAUUCCAGAAUAAUGGUAGAUACAGUUAUGUGAAUUUGAAAUUAGACAUCAACAAAUCCUGGCAUCAUGCUUUCGCCCUGGCCAACUGGCAGUGAACUUGAGUGAAGCUCGUUAUUCUGUAGCUGGCAUCAUACACAGCCUGUUAACAUAAAACAUGUUAUAUUACACUAACAAAAUAAGACAUAUUUUUGUACAUUUUUUCUUAGGUAUUUGAUAAAAUGCUGAUAAAAUGUUUCUUAUUUUGCUAAUGGCAAACUGUUAAAAUUAACAUACAGUUGUUUCAUUAAAUUUGUGUUUAAAGUAAAGUUGUAUCAUAUAAAAAGGAUUGCAUUUAGACUUGCACAUAACUGACUGUUAAGCCAUACCUGAACGUUGAUGGUGGGAACGCCCUUUCGCCCUAUGUAGACUUCUACAUGGUUUACUGGCUUCUUGAUAUGCACAUGCGUCCAAUCGAUGCACCCCAAAGUACUUGUAAAACCUGAAAGUUGAUCAUUUAAAAUUGACCCAUUUUUUUGGAAAAAUUACAAUAUUAAUAAGUAAAUAGAUAUUGAUAUAAAUGGAUUAUGAUCGGUGCAUUUAUGUGCAUUAUAUUGAAUGAAAGUUCUGCCUUAUGUCAGAAGUGAUGCAAUAUGCUGAUGUGUCUUAACUUGAUAAUCAAAUUUAAUGUCAUCGUUUUACUAUUGAUUGAAAAUGCAAUAAUAUGUGCAUUUGAGAAUAAAAUAUUAUUCCUGUU